GUAUUUCCGCGGGCGCUGAGCACUAGAGAGAGCGUCUUGUGGCUGCGGCCUGCCCCUCAGCCUCCUCCGCGCGGUUACCCCUGUACCCGCCGCCAUCCGUCCUGGCGCUCCGGAUGAGUCAAUGAGGGGCAGGGCCCGAGGAGUGGUCUUCCCAAGAACCCCUGGUGGCCUCCCAAGGCCGGUGCUGUGUACCUCCUCCCCGACAAAAGGGGAAACUGAGGCCCCGAGGGGAGUGGGAAGAGCCGGCUGGACGUCAGGCCCAGCCGCUGGUGCAGUGGUCCGUCCCCUCUGCCGGGGUGGGCCCCUCGGGUUUCGCGUGUCCUCGGGAAAGAGACUGGCGGGCCUCGUGGGCUGUGCGGCUAUCCUGGAGACAGAUGACAGCUCUCCCUUGGAUGGCUUUGCUGGUUCCGCACCAGCCAGCGCCCCCAUUUUUCCUGCAGCACCCUGAUCUGCACUCCCUGAGGGGCUCCCACUGUCCGCGGUGUGAGGAUGUCCCUGGAUAGUCCACUGUGUGCAGAGGCAUGGGAGUUGUCAUGUUGGGAACAUGCUAGACCUCAGUAUCCUUGAGGGAUGCUGCCUUGGGUCUGGAAACUGUUAGAGGAAACCCCAAGAGGUGCAGGCACUGAGCCUCUCAGGACAAUGACCUGGGGUCCCAGCUCCCCUGGAGGGGCCUCCUCAUGAUUGUUUGGGGGUUGAUCACAGACCAAGAGUGACGAGUGAUGUCACCCUGUGACUCAUGGCUGGACCUUCUUGCCCCUAUUGUCUCAGCACAACAUUAUUCGACUUUUCCCUCAGCGUGGGUGGGCAGAGGAAAAGCCCUGUGGCUCUGGGGACUUGGGAUCCAGAGUUGAAGACCCUUCAGCUGGCUCUGCCCUGCCAGUGCCACAGAGUGCCAUGGCCCAGGAAGACAGGUUUUCUUCCAUCUAGGCCAGGCCAUCCAGUGGCCAUCCUCCGUGUCCUCCCGCCUCCUCCUGGUGUGACUUCUGAAAACCAAGAAUUUGUUCCUGUUGACUUUUUCUGUGCUAUGGACCAUUGUCCUCUCACCCACUCAAUAAAUCUUGAAACAUGC
rnacentral:lncRNA from 1 species